UGGUGCUCAACCAUUUUUAGGCCAAAACACACUUCUGCAAAAGAAACAUUUCCAAGGCACACUUGAUUUUUUUUUUAUUUUAAAAUUAUUUUACCUUCAUCUGAAGCCUUACCUGAGAGAUUUGCACAAUUCUUGUCAAAUCAUCCUAUUAGCUUUAAGUAAUUGCCAGAUAAAAACCUAUAUAAACUAUGGCAUUUAGUUAAAAAAAUGCAUUUAAGACUUGCAUUCAGUCUAUCAGAAGUCAAUGUAUUCGUGGUACACUUUGAGGCAGCUUGAGACACACCAAGGUCCACCUGAAACCUAGUUGAAUGCCUCUAGAGAGUAGCAGGACAAGUAGCUAAUAUUGACAGUCUUAGGCUAGAAUCAGGGGUAGGCAACCUUCGGCACUCCAG